rnacentral:rRNA from 1 species
GGGACCCGUCUUGAAACACGGACCAAGGAGUCUAGCAUGUGCGCGAGUCAUUGGGACUCUAAACGAAACCUAAAGGCGUAAUGAAAGUGAAGGUUCGCCUAGCGCGAACCGAGGGAGGAUGGACGGUCGUCAGUGGCCGUCCCGCACUCCCUGGGCGUCUCGUUCUCAUCGCGAGAAGAGGCGCACCAAGAGCGUACACGCUGGGACCCGAAAGAUGGUGAACUAUGCCUGGUCAGGACGAAGUCAGGGGAAACCCUGAUGGAGGUCCGUAGCGAUUCUGACGUGCAAAUCGAUCGUCGGAACUGGGUAUAGGGGCGAAAGACUAAUCGAACCAUCUAGUAGCUGGUUCCCUCCGAAGUUUCCCUCAGGAUAGCUGGCGCUCGCUUCUCGCGAGUCUCAUUCGGUAAAGCGAAUGAUUAGAGGCAUUGGGGUCGAAACGGCCUCAACCUAUUCUCAAACUUUAAAUGGGUGAGAUCUCCGGCUUGCUUGAACUGUGAAGCCGCGAGAUAUCGGAUCAGAGUGCCAAGUGGGCCACUUUUGGUAAGCAGAACUGGCGCUGUGGGAUGAACCAAACGCCGAGUUAAAGCGCCUAAAUCGACGCUUAUGGGAUACCAUGAAAGGCGUUGGUAACUUAAGACAGCAGGACGGUGGCCAUGGAAGUCGGAA